rnacentral:rRNA from 1 species
CGCACAGUUUAUACCGUAGCUUGCUACACCAUAGACUGUGAGUUGCGAACGGGUGAGUAACGCGUAGGUAACCUGCCUGGUAGCGGGGGAUAACUAUUGGAAACGAUAGCUAAUACCGCAUAAUAUUAAUUAUUGCAUGAUAAUUGAUUGAAAGAUGCAAUUGCAUCACUACCAGAUGGACCUGCGUUGUAUUAGCUAGUAGGUGAGGUAACGGCUCACCUAGGCGACGAUACAUAGCCGACCUGAGAGGGUGAUCGGCCACACUGGGACUGAGACACGGCCCAGACUCCUACGGGAGGCAGCAGUAGGGAAUCUUCGGCAAUGGACGAAAGUCUGACCGAGCAACGCCGCGUGAGUGAAGAAGGUUUUCGGAUCGUAAAGCUCUGUUGUAAGAGAAGAACGGGUGUGAGAGUGGAAAGUUCACACUGUGACGGUAUCUUACCAGAAAGGGACGGCUAACUACGUGCCAGCAGCCGCGGUAAUACGUAGGUCCCGAGCGUUGUCCGGAUUUAUUGGGCGUAAAGCGAGCGCAGGCGGUUAGAUAAGUCUGAAGUUAAAGGCUGUGGCUUAACCAUAGUACGCUUUGGAAACUGUUUAACUUGAGUGCAGAAGGGGAGAGUGGAAUUCCAUGUGUAGCGGUGAAAUGCGUAGAUAUAUGGAGGAACACCGGUGGCGAAAGCGGCUCUCUGGUCUGUAACUGACGCUGAGGCUCGAAAGCGUGGGGAGCGAACAGGAUUAGAUACCCUGGUAGUCCACGCCGUAAACGAUGAGUGCUAGGUGUUAGGCCCUUUCCGGGGCUUAGUGCCGCAGCUAACGCAUUAAGCACUCCGCCUGGGGAGUACGACCGCAAGGUUGAAACUCAAAGGAAUUGACGGGGGCCCGCACAAGCGGUGGAGCAUGUGGUUUAAUUCGAAGCAACGCGAAGAACCUUACCAGGUCUUGACAUCCCGAUGCCCGCUCUAGAGAUAGAGUUUUACUUCGGUACAUCGGUGACAGGUGGUGCAUGGUUGUCGUCAGCUCGUGUCGUGAGAUGUUGGGUUAAGUCCCGCAACGAGCGCAACCCUUAUUGUUAGUUGCCAUCAUUCAGUUGGGCACUCUAGCGAGACUGCCGGUAAUAAACCGGAGGAAGGUGGGGAUGACGUCAAAUCAUCAUGCCCCUUAUGUCCUGGGCUACACACGUGCUACAAUGGCUGGUACAACGAGUCGCAAGUCGGUGACGGCAAGCUAAUCUCUUAAAGCCAGUCUCAGUUCGGAUUGUAGGCUGCAACUCGCCUACAUGAAGUCGGAAUCGCUAGUAAUCGCGGAUCAGCACGCCGCGGUGAAUACGUUCCCGGGCCUUGUACACACCGCCCGUCUCACCACGAGAGUUUGUAACACCCGAAGUCGGUGAGGUAAC